GAGUGCAGUCGCUGGGUCACAGAUAUGCAUAUACUCAGCACAUUCUUUCCCCUUUCCUCCUUCCCUGUCUCCUCUUGUUUUUGUUUGUUAUUACAGGCUCUGGCUCUCUGGCUCCUUCCCAUCUCAGAUGCACUAGUAGAGAGGCCAGAAGGGAGGAUGGCACCUGGGAUGCACACUCAAAGGGUUUCUUGGGCUAAGCCUGCGCUGCUUCGGGUGAGAGGUGCCGUGGAGAAGGAGAUGCUGGUUAGUAGAUGGAGAAAGCCUUGAAGAAAAACACCAACUACCAAUGAUGAGAAGGACCCUCACACUGCUCCCAAUCCAGCCAGAGAGAUAAUUGAGUUGGAAUUUUUCUUGGAAAGGAGUGGACAUAAUUAGAUAAGUAAUUUAUGUUCUCCCUCCCUACUUCCUUUCCCCAUCUUUCUUUCCCCCUUUCCUCCCUCCCUGUCUCCUCCUGGUUUUGUUUGGAUCUGGAAUGGCUCCAAAGACCCAUAUGUUAAAGGUUUGGUUGCCAUUGGUGACUUUAUUGGGAAGAGGUGAGAACUUUAGAAGGUGGAAGACAGUAGGUUACUGGGCUGUGUCCUUGAAGAGAAUAUUUUGUCCUUCACCUCUUCUUCUCUCUGUUGCUGCCUCCCAGACACCAUGAAGUGAGCAGCAUGGCUCCACCAUAUGCUUCCUGCCAUGAUGUUCUACCUCACCACAGGUCCCCAAAUCAAUGGAUCCAUGGAGCUAAGAAACCCUGGACUGAAACCUAAACCCUAAGUAACCCUGGACUGAAAUUCUGAGCCAAAAUAAAUCUUCCAACCUUUAAUCUGAUUCUCUCAGGUGUUUUGUCACAGUGUGAAAAGCUGACUUACACACUCUCCCUCCAUCACUGUCCUUCUCCCUUCCAUAUUUAUUGAGGAUGCACUAAGAAUUGUACACUUUGCUAAGCCCUGGGGAUGUGGCAGUGAGCGACAGUCAUAGUACAAACCCUCAUGAAUUGACAGUCCAGAGUGAGAUACAGGAAAUUAAAAAAAAAUCGCUCAAGGAAUUAUGUGAAGACAGUUGUGAUAAGGAACAAAAGGAAAUACACAUGGUACAGUGAGAUCAUAGAGAGC
rnacentral:lncRNA from 1 species